UGGUUGAUCCUGCCAGUAAAAUAUGCUUGUUUAAAAGAUUAAGCCAUGCAAAUUUAAAGAUGAGGAGAGUUUACUUUCCGAACUUGUGGAUAGCUCAGUCAAAAGGAAUUUAGAUGCGGAGAUGUACCUUAUUUUUAAAUGGAUAACGCCGCAAAAGCGACGCUAAUACAUGAAAAAUUUGGGGGGGAUGAUGAUGAAUCAGUCCCUAUAACAGUGGUUUUAAGCCAUUUUUACCUUGACGCGAGGUUAAGCUUCGCGCCGUCUCCAUUCGAUUCCUAAGCAUCAUGGUAGUUGCUAGGGUAUUGACCUAGCAAGCCGACAACGCUAACGGAGAAUUAGGGUUUGAUUCCGGAGGGGGAGCCUGAGAAACAGCUGCCAGUCCUAAGGGGUGCAGCAGGCGCGAAAAUUAUCCAAUGAGGAAUUCUUGAGAUAGUGACUAAAAAUAAGAAAGGAAUUGAGUUUUUCUCAAAUCUUAUUCAAAUGAUAGAAAUUUAAACCAAAUUAAAGAGUAACUAAGGGAGGGCAAGUACGGUGCCAGCAGCCGCGGUAAUUCCGUCUCCCUGAGUGUAUUUUAAAAUUGUUGCCGUUGAAACGCUCGUAGUCGAAACUUUGGGAAGAUAAAAUGACUUAGUUCAUAGCAAUAUGAACUUUGUCAACUUUCCAUUUUAGAAGUUCAACUAGAGUUAAAUCUAGUUGUAUUUACCUUGAACAAAAAUUAAUGAUCAAAGUAGUCCAUUAAUUUAAUGGAUGUUGUGAUAUUAAGCAAGGGAUAAUAGAAAAUGUUUUGGCAUAAGAAGUUCUAUUGGAUUUUUUAUGUUGAAAAAUGAUUAAUAGAAAAGGAAGGGAUAGAGGGUAUUCAAGAGUGAGAGGUGAAAUUUUACGAUCUCUUGAGGACCAACAUAAGCGAAAGCACUCUAUUAUUACUUUUUCAUUGAUCAAGAGCGAAGGUGUGGGGAUCGAAGAUGAUUAGAAACCGUCGUAGUCCACACAGUAAACUAUGCUGCCUUGUGAUUGGUUGCUGUCGAUAUGUACGCAAGUACAACAAUGACGCAAUCAGGAACAUAGAGAAAUUAAAGGUUUUGAGUUCGGGGGGGAGUAUGAUCGCAAGAUUGAAACUUAAAGGAAUUGACGGAAAGGCACCACAAGGCGUGGAGCUUGCGGCUUAAUUUGACCCAACGCGGGAAAACUUGCCAAGGUCGGACAAGUGAAUGAUUGUCAGUCUGAAGAACUUACUUGAUUAUUUGGGUGGUGGUGCAUGGCCG
rnacentral:rRNA from 1 species